GAUCCUGGCUCAGAUUGAACGCUGGCGGCAGGCCUAACACAUGCAAGUCGAACGGUAACAGGAAACAGCUUGCUGUUUCGCUGACGAGUGGCGGACGGGUGAGUAAUGUCUGGGAAACUGCCUGAUGGAGGGGGAUAACUACUGGAAACGGUAGCUAAUACCGCAUAAUGUCGCAAGACCAAAGAGGGGGGACCCUUCGGGCCGUCUUGCCAUCGGAUGUGCCCAGAUGGGAUUAGCUAGUAGGUAGGGG
rnacentral:rRNA from 1 species